GAUGAACGCUGGCGGCGUGCCUAACACAUGCAAGUCGAGCGGCAGCGCGGGGUGCUUGCACCCUGUCGGCGAGCGGCGGACGGCUGAGUAACGCGUGGGAACGUGCCCCAAAGUGAGGAAUAACUGCCAGAAAGGGUAGCUAAUACCGCAUAUUAUCUUCGGAACAAAGGAUUUAUCCGCUUUGGGAGCGGCUCGCGUCGGAUUAGGUAGUUGGUGAGGUAAUGGCUCACCAAGCCGACGAUCCGUAGCUGGUCUGAGAGGAUGACCAGCCAGACUGGAACUGCGACACGGUCCAGACUCCUACGGGAGGCAGCAGUGAGGAAUCUUCCACAAUGGGCGAAAGCCUGAUGGAGCAACGCCGCGUGCAGGACGAAGGCCUUCGGGUUGUAAUCUGCUUUUAUAAGUGAGGAAUAUGACGGUAACUUAUGAAUAAGGAUCGGCUAACUACGUG
rnacentral:rRNA from 1 species